GUCUACACAGAUCACAAUCCUUUAAUUUUUCUACACUCUUUACAAAACCCCAACCAAAGGCUAAUGAGAUGGUGUGUUUUUUUACAGGGUUACCUGUUGGAUAUUAAAGGCUCAGAAAAUGUCACCGCUGAUGCCUUGUCUCGUGUUCACAUAGUCCAAGUGUUGUAGAACUCAGAUUUUCUCUCUUUUCCCUUCCUUCAUUUUGCUUCCUAGGCGCCAAGGUUGCUGGAAGGAGUUGCGGAGUUGAAAACGCUGAGGAACAUUUGCUAGCUGAAUCGAUCGGAAGAGCACCGUCU